GACAGAGAUGUCACAGAGAUUUUAUAACGGACGAAUUAAUAUUAUAAUUAAACGUCGAAAUUUUCGAUUGAGCGAAGAUACAGAGCAUCGUGUGUGAUUAAGUUUGAAGGCUGUGGAGAUUAGAAUACCUGACCAUGUACACAAAACAAUACACUGCACUACACGUUAAAUUGCGAUGCCUACGUGUUAGCAUAGAAAUAAUAAUAAUACUAUAAUGAUGUGCACGAUGGAGAAUUUUCGCAUUGUGCGCUUAUAUACAUACGUAUUUUAUAAACUCUACUGGACGUAAUUUUCGAGAUAGUAAUGAUGUGAAGUAUUGCUGUUCCAGACAUCCAUCCCGAGCUAUUGAGUGAAAUCCCGUUGAGGGUUUUUGUGUUGUUGUGUUCGACACCGUUGUAAUAAUAAUAUUAUAUACAUAUAGUGAAGAUAUGUUUUCAGAGUAAAUCUCGGAGAGAACGGAUUUCAACAAUAGACGGUGGUGGCGGCGGCGUCAUCGGAUUAACGGCCAGAUACGUAUAUUACAUACAGAGCGAUCCAUUUAUUACAAUACAGUGAUUUAUCGGAUAACUUUAAGCGAAUUUGCUUUUGGUUUU